rnacentral:rRNA from 1 species
UACAGAGGUCUCAAGCGUUUGUUCGGAUUCAUUGGGCGUAAAGGGUGCGUAGGUGGCGCGGUAAGUCGGGUGUGAAAUCUCGGAGCUUAACUCCGAAAUUGCAUUCGAUACUGCCGUGCUUGAGGACUGGAGAGGAGACUGGAAUUCAUGGUGUAGCAGUGAAAUGCGUAGAGAUCAUGAGGAAGACCAGUGGCGAAGGCGGGUCUCUGGACAGUUCCUGACACUGAGGCACGAAGGCCAGGGGAGCAAACGGG